rnacentral:rRNA from 1 species
AUUGAACGCUGGCGGCAGGCCUAACACAUGCAAGUCGAACGAGUGGCGGACGGGUGAGUAAUGUCUGGGCAACUGCCUGAUGGAGGGGGAUAACUACUGGAAACGUUAGCUAAUACCGCAUCCCUUCGGAUGUGCUCCGAUGGGAUUAGCUAGUCGGUGGGGUAACGGCUCACCUAGGCGACGAUCCCUAGCUUGUCUGAGAGGAUGACCAGCCACACUGGAACUGAGACACGGUCCAGAAGCCUACGGGAGGCAGCAGUGGGGAAUAUGGCACAAUGGGCGCAAGCCUGAUGCAGCCAUGCCGCGUGUAUGAAGAAGGCCUUCGGGUUGUAAAGUACUUUCAGCGGGGAGGCGUUACCCGCAGAAGAAGCACCGGCUAACUCCGUGCCAGCCGCCGCGGUAAUUC